UAAGUAAUUGUUAAAUAUUUAUUGAAGUGAAAAAUCUUUAGGCGUAUGAAGGUAAAAUUUUCACGGAUGAAACCGCGACGUUUUGAUGAAACGGCAACGUAUUUGUCGAUGGCACUGGAACGAAAAUCAAAAACCUUAGAUUUGUAUAAAUAUAAACGAGACUUGAAAAUUGGUUUGCCAAAGAAGUUUCACUUCUG